CUAGCGACUUCAGAGUUUGAUCCUGGCUCAGGAUGAACGCUGGCGGCGUGCCUAAUACAUGCAAGUCGAGCGAACAGAUAAGGAGCUUGCUCCUUUGACGUUAGCGGCGGACGGGUGAGUAACACGUGGAUAACCUACCUAUAAGACUGGGGUAACUUCGGGAAACCGGAGCUAAUACCGGAUAAGAUUUUGAACCGCAUAGUUCAAUAGUGAAAGACGGCCUUGCUGUCACUUAUAGAUGGAUCCGCGCCGUAUUAGCUAGUUGGUAAGGUAACGGCUUACCAAGGCAACGAUACGUAGCCGACCUGAGAGGGUGAUCGGCCACACUGGAACUGAGACACGGUCCAG
rnacentral:rRNA from 1 species